rnacentral:rRNA from 1 species
AGCGAACGCUGGCGGCAGGCCUAACACAUGCAAGUCGAACGAACUCUUCGGAGUUAGUGGCGGACGGGUGAGUAACACGUGGGAACGUGCCUUUUGGUUCGGAAUAACUCAGGGAAACUUGUGCUAAUACCGAAUGUGCCCUUCGGGGGAAAGAUUUAUCGCCAUUAGAGCGGCCCGCGUCUGAUUAGCAAGUUGGUGAGGUAACGGCUCACCAAGGCGACGAUCAGUAGCUGGUCUGAGAGGAUGACCAGCCACACUGGGACUGAGGCCCGGCCCAGACUCCUACGGGAGGCAGCAGUGGGGAAUCUUGCGCAAUGGGCGAAAGCCUGACGCAGCCAUGCCGCGUGAAUGAUGAAGGUCUUAGGAUUGUAAAAUUCUUUCACCGGGGACGAUAAUGACGGUACCCGGAGAAGAAGCCCCGGCUAACUUCGUG